rnacentral:rRNA from 1 species
UACGUAGGUGGCAAGCGUUGUCCGGAUUUAUUGGGUUUAAAGGGUGCGUAGGCGGUCAUGUAAGUCAGCGGUGAAAUCCGGCAGCUCAACUGUCGAUGUGCCAUUGAUACUGCAUGACUUGAGUACUGAUGAGGUAGGCGGAAUUGACGGUGUAGCGGUGAAAUGCUUAGAUAUCGUCAAGAACACCGAUAGCGAAGGCAGCUUACUAAGCAGUAACUGACGCUGAGGCACGAAAGUGUGGGGAUCAAACAGG